rnacentral:lncRNA from 1 species
AUCAUCACUCCUAUCCCUGAGAUUUCCUUUCUUUAUCCUGCUUUCCUUGUUGGCCUGCAACCUCCACACAAAGAAAGAGAGGGAAAAUUAUUUUCCUUUCUGAUGGAUUUUUUUUCUAAAAGUGACAAGACUCUUCAAGAGAGCUGAGGCUUUGGGUUCUUUGGCAGAUAAAUCGAAGGGGAGGAAAGAGACAGGAGGGAAGCAAAUGUCCUGGAGAAGCCCCCCUGCACCAUGACACCAGAGCAGGGGCAGCCAGGGCAUGGAGGGGCCUGGCUGCAGGCCACAGGUGGUCUCCCAGAGCCUCAGAGGGGAAGCAACCAAGGCUUUUGUGCCAAGGAGAAGCACCCACCACCUGUGCAGCACCUGGGAUCAAGAAGACACAGAGAGACCUAUUUGGAUCCGGUAACUGACGAGUGGAAGGGCCACAGAUACAGGUAGAGAAGAGUAGGUGUCAAUGUCCUGGGGCUGAUGAGCACUGCACAUCUAGGUCACAGUCACCCAGUGCCUCCUACCCCUAAAGCAGCCUCCUCCUACUGAACACCCAGAAAGAAGAGAAGAGAAGAGGAAUGGGGGAAAAAAAAUCCCUGACUCAGUUUUUACCCAAAGGGCAUGGAGAAAAAUCUGGUAGUGACUGAAUGUAAACAAGGGUUUAGAAGCUAGGUUAAGUUCAAUCACAGAGGGAGCUCCUGUCGUGGCUCAGUGGUAACGAACCCAACUAGUAUCCAUGAGGAUGCAGGUUCGAUCCCUGGCCUCGCUCAGUGUGUUAAGGUUUCGGCAUUGCUGUGAGCUGUGGUGCAGGUUGCAGACAAGGCUCAGAUCUGGCUUUGCUGUGGUGUAGGCCAGCAGCUGCAGCUCCAAUUCGACACCUAGCCUGGGAACCUCCAUAUGCCGAGGGUACAGCCCUAAAAAAACAAACAAAAAAAAAGUUUGAUCACAGAAAAGUAAAGUAAGUUGUUUGUUUGCAUAAGUCUGCAACACAUACACCUUCCUCCCCUCCUGGGGUUACUCUAGCUUUGGCACAUGCCAGGUUCUGGGUGGGGGUAGAGAUGGGGGAUAGAGAACCAUUCUUGGUUCCACUCAGCUCUAUCUCUUGAAGGAGUCCAGGCCUUCUGAACAUGAUGUGGUCAUAUCUUGGAACUGAUUGGCAAGAAACACAGGACCGCAAAUGUCAUAUUGGCCUUGACAAGUGAUGACUAUAGGCGGGUCAUCUGGAAGGUCCAGGACUCUUAAUUCUGGGAAAUGUUCUGCUUUUCCAAGAAGAAAAAAAAUGCUGAAGCAAAUGAAAAUGAAGUAAAACACAACCAAAGGAAUCAACAUGUUUCCAUCCACCUUCACUGCUUUAGCUUCUGGGUUGCUUUUUUUGUUUUGUUUUUGUUUUUUGUUUUUUGUUUGAUUGUUCAUUUGUUUUUUUGUUGUUGUUUUUUUUUGUUUGUUUGUUUGUUUUUUGGAAGCUCAGACCCAGAGAAUGUUGAGAGCCCACUAAGGGAGUUUUCCUAAAGGAUCAGCAUUCUUGGGUCAUCAGGGCUGGCCCCAGAUCCCCCAGUGGUCAUUGGAGGGCCCCUCCUGUGCCCUCCAGCUUCACGUUAUUCUAGAAACAUCUCCUCUGGUUAAGGAUGAGUGGAUAGACUGCCUUCACCCUGCUUCUUGCUUUUGCAGCAUCUUUUAUGGGACUCCACAAGGCUGGAGCUGAUGAUCCACAUUCUUCCAGGGUGUUUGCUGCUUGGUGCCCUCCACUUCCAAGGACAGACACACUGCCUAUUGUGAACUGGAGGUAGGGGUCUUAACACAGGACCUGAGCAGCCUCAGUGUGCUCCAGGGAGCCUCUCACGUGGCACCAGCCUUCCAAUGUGGUGGGUAACUUGCUGCGUGUUUUCUCACCCCUGUGCCUUCAGCUACAUCGUCUCCUCUGCCUAGAAGUGCCUGUCACCCCUACCCCAGUCCCUGCCUCCCCCAGUAGGAUGUCCUGAGCCCUCCUGACCACCAGGCUCUGUGGCAUGGAGACGCCUGAGCACAGGAAGCGUUAAUGGUGAACUCUGAGAAACAGCAUGAGCUGAAGAUCCAUCUGUUUAUUGAACACAGGGCUGUGAGUCAGGGAGUGGCUUGGGCACAGACCAGGCAUGUGAACUUGAUGGAUCUUCCAACUUCUUUUGGCCUCUUCUACUUCUCCCAGGAGCUGCUGGGUCUGGAUGGUUAAGUCCCAUCUACCAGUUAGAUUGCCACUGUGGUCCUGGGCUUGCUUCCACUCAUGUGGCUGGCCAUGUACAAUUUUCCAUAGGGCUGCCAGAGUGCCCUCACAACACGGCAGCUGGCUUCCCCCAGGGUGAAUGACCAAGAGAGAUGGACAGGAGACACCACAUCUUUAUAACCUGGAUUCGGAAAUGACUGGGCCUUAUUCUGUCAGCCACACCCACCAACCCAACACGUGGCAGGAGGUACCGCACAAGAGAGUGAAUCUUCUGAGGUGGGGACCACUGACUGCCGUCUUGGAGGCUGGCUGUCACAGAGUGCCAGUCUAAUUUUAAUCAGGCUCACCUGAAUUAUCAAGAAGUAAGGAUGUCUUAGGAGUGCCUUCCCUUGGGUUCUACAUCCUGCCUGCUUUGUUGCUGGGAAUGGACGGGCCCUAUGGAGCUGGAUGCUAGAGAAAAUUCUCACAUAAGGUGGAACAAUGCUGGGUGCAGAGGUCACAGAGGAACAGGAGCCUAAGGGCUUGGAAUGUCUAAUGACACAUCCAAUGUAGCAGGACUUAAGUGUGAGGCUGAGCAAAGGAGGAUAUGACCUUUUUGAAGGAGGCAGUAAGUCCUUCCUAGUUGCCAUUAAAAUAAGUGUGUGAAGACUAAUACCUUGAAUAAUACUAGUGUGCUUUCGUUUUUCACUCCUUCUUUGUGACUUUCCCUUACUUAGCCCUAGUUUCCAUCAUUUUUGUGAGUGGUAGCUGGGAUGAGGGAAAGAGGAGAAACUGAAAUGAAGAGAGGAUGGAGAUUUAGCUUCAGAUGUGCAAACCAGCUCUGAAACAACAGGUUUGAAAGCCAAGUUUUCACCAGUGAGAUUGGGCCAUUGAGAGAAGGUUUUCCUAAAUCCAGGUAGGUUUCUUUUAAAUAUAACAAUGUUGGCGAAUGAACACGGAGUUUUUACUACACAUCUCAGAAUAGGGAAGAAUGGGCAGCAUGCCCCACAAGGAGCUCUCAACCCCCCAGGAAAGGGAAUAGCCCUUCCUGGGCUGGGAUGGUUAUAGAUAUCUUCAGCCAACAAGACCAGAUGAGGAUACUACACUCAAGGUGCAGGGUGAGAUUUCAGAAAUAGCAGAUGAUCCAAGGAAAGAUCCACGAGCUUAUGCUCCACUUUUGGCUUGAAAUUCCAGGCAGAAUUGCAGGGUGACCUAGACCCACAUGGGUGGCUUGCAGUCGGAGGGACAUGCUGGUAUGGCACAUUUAGCUGGAGAGGGAGCCUGAGAUCGCGUAGACAAGGUUCCCUGGGACUGGUGUAUGGCCUGCAUGAGAUCCAGAAUGUUCUGUGUAGGCUGGGAGUGGUGAACAGUGGUGCUAAGAAUGUGGGGGGAGAGGAAGGCGAUAGCCUGGUAGGAGACAGGACACACAGCCAGAGGCCAUGGCAGGGUCCUGGUCAGUUGCAGCCCAGGGCCAGUGACAGAACUGGCCUCCAGAGAUCAAAGCUGACCCCCUAUGCCUCCCAAACUGUCCAGCUUGAGCCUUGAAGAAGGGAAUGGACAAAGAGGGCUUACUCUGCUGCCAUGAGGGAUGGAAACAACUUCCUGACCAUUCUUUGUGGGGACAGAAAGACUUUUGAGAAGACAGGAACCUGAGAGGGACUUCCUUUCCUUUUUUAUGGCGGAAUCUGCAGCACUUGGAAGUUCAUCCUCCAGGGAUUGAACCUGAGCCACAUCUGCAACCUACACCAGAUCCUUUUAACCCACUGCACCUAGCCAGGGAUCAAAUCAAUCUUCCGCAGUGACUCAAGCCACUGCAGUCAAAUUCUUAACCCACUGCGCCAUAGUGGGGACUCCAGGAGGGACUUUCAACUUAGUAAAAUCCUAAAUUGCCUGAAUAAUUACACAAAAGAGAUGAAGUCUCCAAAUGGGAGUUUACUUUGAAGCAGUAAGAUUAGUUUCUUUUAUUUGUUCAUUGUUUUGUUUUCUGCUUUCAGUAGAAUUAGAGCCUCGGGAGGCAGCUGAGUUUGAUUAGGUGGAAUUUAGCAUUUCUGCCAUUGGGAUCACAUGGGUGCAUUUUAAACUCAGGAAACCAUCAAAAGGAUGUGAUUUGAGGUGGGAGGGAGAACAAAGGUAGCACAAUGAGGAGCCACUGUUGUACUUUUUAAAAUCAUCCUUUGGAGGGUCUAGAAUAUAUCAAGAAUGCCUACAAAUCAGCAGCAACAACAAAAAUAUGAACAACUCUGGCUUUCUAGGUGGACAAUGAGUUCAACAGGCAUCUCAUAACAAAGAUACAGGAAUGGCCAAUAAGCCCAAGAAAAAGUGCUCAACAGUAUUAAUCAUUAGGAAAUGCAAAUGAAACAACAAUGAGCUGCCACGUCACACCCACCAGACUGAAUCAAGUCAAAUACAAUGGACGCUGGACCAACUGAAGCCAGUCCAAUGCAUGGAGGAUGUGCAGCACCAAGCAAACACCCCCACCCCGACCCAGCAGGCCCAUGCCUUGUGCCAACCCCAAGGAAAUGAAAACCUCUGUCCACACAGAGGCUCGAAUCUGAAUGCUUACAGUAGUCAUAUUCCUAAGAAUCAACCAAACAGAUAAAUAAAACACAGCAUAUCCAUUUAAUGGACUGUUACUCAGCAAUUAAAAAGGACCACUUAACAGUUAAACCCACAGCACAGAUGAAUCUCCAAAAACUGAUGCUGAGUGAGAGGAGUCAGACAUAGAAGAGAAUCUACCAUUCAACUCCACGUACAUGAAUUUCUAGAACAGGCAAAACUGAUCUUUGUGGAGAGAAGUCUAAAACUGGUCAGGGGUAGAAGGGUGCUUCCUGCGUGAUAGAAUGUUCUGUAUUUUGUUUGUGACAACCAUGGUGAUUGUUGCGUGGAUAUAAAUGAUUGGACCUCAU